GACGAACCGAGCGAACGUUGUUCGGAAUCACUGGGCUUACAGGGUGCGUAGGCGGCUUAGCAAGUCAGGUGUGAAAGCCCCCGGCUCAACCGGGGAACUGCGCUUGAAACUGCUGAGCUCGAGUCAGCUAGAGGUACACGGAACUUCCAGUGGAGCGGUGAAAUGCGUAGAGAUGUGGAGGAACACCAGUGGCGAAAGCGGCUCUCUGGUCUGUAACUGACGCUGAGGCGCGAAAGCGUGGGGAGCAAACAGG
rnacentral:rRNA from 1 species